GAUGAACGCUGGCGGCGUGCCUAAUACAUUCCAGUCGAGCGAACGUACGAGAAGCUUGCUUUUCUGAUGUUAGCGGCGGACGGUUGAGUAACACGUGGUUAACCUACCUUUAAGACUUGGAUUACUUCGGGAAACCGGAGCUAAUACCGGAUAAUAUUUUGUACCGCAUGGUUCAAAAGUUAAAGACGUUCUUGCUGUCACUUAUAGAUGGUUCCGUGCUGCAUUAGCUUGUUGGUAAGGUAACGCCUUACCAAGCCAACAAUACAUAGCCGACCUAUGAGGGUGAUCGGCCACCCUGGAACUGAGAAACGGUCCAAGGUCCAAAAGGAAGCAGCAGUAGGGAAUCUUCCGCGAUAGGCGAAAGCCUGACAGAGCAACGAAGCGUGAGUGAUGAAGGUCUUCGGAUCGUAAAACGAUGUUAUUAGGGAAGAACAGAUGUGUAAGAAGCAGUGCACAUCUUGACGGUACCUAAAGAGAAAGACACGGCUAAAUACGUG
rnacentral:rRNA from 1 species